CUUAUCCUGGGGGUGAAGAAGCUCCCAAGGGUUUGGCUGUUCGCCAAUUAAAAAGCUACGCGAGCUGGGUUCAAACCGUCAAAAUUGAACUCGAGGAAAGGGAACCAUGUUCCCAAACACACGGCGGCUUGUCGCCGAAAGGCGACUCGAAUAAAUCGACUCAUAUCGGAGAAAUCCUAAUCUCGCUGUCGCGGGAUCCCGCACCUACAUGGGUGAGGGAAUAUUUCCUAACCUGGAUUAUUAGGACAAUUCCGAGGGAAGUCUUCCGUUCAAAUUUUUGGAAAAUAAAAGAGGACCUUAUUGGUCCUCGUGGAUGGGGCUAUCCUUCUUUUUCUACUAGGCUGGAUAGGACGCUCAUUGCAAGAGCACCAACAAAGAAUUCACCAAGCAUUGCAACGCCUACAGUCCAUGCAUCAAGUGGUACAGAAUUGCUGACAGCACCUAUUACGCCUAGCAUUAUCAAGCUAAAUGCGAAUAAUACCUUAAGCAAUCUCAUUAGCUACUCCUUGUCUUGACGGCUUAAGACUACCAGGCGAUUGUAGUAUAAAUAGUAUAAUUGUCAAUAGAAAAUAUUGAUUCCAAAAAUUUGAACGGAAUGACCCCGUAGAGACUUAUCCUUCGAAGCCUUAUGCAAAGAAGGAAGGCGUUAUGAUAUAUCAUAACGCAACACGUCGUUCAGCGCAUUUAAGAAAAUGCUAAAUGUAAAAUGAAAAUAUCAAAAUGAAAAAUAAUUUUUAUUUUUGAUUUUUAAAUUUUGAUUUAAGCAAUUUAUUCCAUAAAUUGCGUUGGUGGUAUAGUCCAAGCUCUUAGUAAUAAGAGAAUAAUUGCUUCUAGAUUCUAAAUUCUAGUUUCUAGAUUCUAAUUUAUUAGCGUGAGACAGGUUGGUCCAUAUCUGGUGCGGGCGUUGAUACUUGAGGAGGGUUGUCCUUAGUACGAGAGGACCGGGAUGAACGAACCUCUGGUCUACGAGCUGUUCUGCCAAGAGCAAUGCUCGGUAGCUAUGUUCGGUUCUGAUAAGCGCUGAAAGCAUAUAAGCGCGAAGCAGGCUCCAAGAUUAGGUAUCAAGAUUCGUCGUAGAUUACGACGUUGAUAGGAUUCAGAUGUAAGUGCAGUAAUGCAUUAAGUCAAGAAUUACUAAUUAAUCAGCCGAGUAAUGUU
rfam:Candidatus Yanofskybacteria bacterium RIFCSPHIGHO2_02_FTLL_38_22b rifcsphigho2_02_scaffold_7939, whole genome shotgun sequence.